AAAUGAAUAGACGGGGGCCCGCACAAGCAGCGGAGCAUGUGGUUUAAUUCGAAGCAACGCGAAGAACCUUACCAGGUCUUGACAUCCAGGUAAAGCCGCGGAGACGCGGUGUGUGCUUGCACAAUCUGAGACAGGUGGUGCAUGGUUGUCGUCAGCUCGUGUCGUGAGAUGUUGGGUUAAGUCCCGCAACGAGCGCAACCCUUGUGAUCAGUUACUAACGGGCAAAGCCGAGGACUCUGAUAAGACUGCCGGGGACAACUCGGAGGAAGGUGGGGACGACGUCAAAUCAUCAUGCCCCUUAUGACCUGGGCUACACACGUGCUACAAUGGCCACUACAGAGAGAGGCGAAUUCGAGAGGAAGAGCGGAUCUCAGAAAAGUGGUCCCAGUUCGGAUUGUGGGCUGCAACCCGCCCACAUGAAGUCGGAGUUGCUAGUAAUCGCGGAUCAGCAUGCCGCGGUGAAUACGUUCCCGGGCCUUGUACACACCGCCCGU
rnacentral:rRNA from 1 species